rnacentral:rRNA from 1 species
CAAAAAUGGACAGUCUACUUAGUCGUGCUGGGAGGAUCAUUA